GGGUUGUGAGGUUAAGCGACUAAGCGUACACGGUGGAUGCCCUGGCAGUCAGAGGCGAUGAAGGACGUGCUAAUCUGCGAAAAGCGUCGGUAAGGUGAUAUGAACCGUUAUAACCGGCGAUGUCCGAAUGGGGAAACCCAGUGUGAUUCGUCACACUAUCGUUAACUGAAUACAUAGGUUAACGAGGCGAACCGGGGGAACUGAAACAUCUAAGUACCCCGAGGAAAAGAAAUCAACCGAGAUUCCCCCAGUAGCGGCGAGCGAACGGGGAGCAGCCCAGAGUCUGAAUCAGCUUGUGUGUUAGUGGAACGGUCUGGAAAGUCCGACGGUACAGGGUGAUAGUCCCGUACACCAAAAUGCACAGGUUGUGAACUCGAAGAGUAGGGCGGGACACGUGGUAUCCUGUCUGAAUAUGGGGGGACCAUCCUCCAAGGCUAAAUACUCCUGACUGACCGAUAGUGAACCAGUACCGUGAGGGAAAGGCGAAAAGAACCCCGGCGAGGGGAGUGAAAAAGAACCUGAAACCGUGUACGUACAAGCAGUGGGAGCACCUUCGGGUGUGACUGCGUACCUUUUGUAUAAUGGGUCAGCGACUUAUAUUCUGUAGCAAGGUUAACCGUAUAGGGGAGCCGCAGGGAAACCGAGUCUUAACUGGGCGUUAAGUUGCAGGGUAUAGACCCGAAACCCGGUGAUCUAGCCAUGGGCAGGUUGAAGGUUGGGUAACACUAACUGGAGGACCGAACCGACUAAUGUUGAAAAAUUAGCGGAUGACUUGUGGCUGGGGGUGAAAGGCCAAUCAAACCGGGAGAUAGCUGGUUCUCCCCGAAAGCUAUUUAGGUAGCGCCUCGUGAACUCAUCUUCGGGGGUAGAGCACUGUUUCGGCUAGGGGGUCAUCCCGACUUACCAACCCGAUGCAAACUACGAAUACCGAAGAAUGUUAUCACGGGAGACACACGGCGGGUGCUAACGUCCGUCGUGAAGAGGGAAACAACCCAGACCGCCAGCUAAGGUCCCAAAGUCAUGGUUAAGUGGGAAACGAUGUGGGAAGGCACAGACAGCCAGGAUGUUGGCUUAGAAGCAGCCAUCAUUUAAAGAAAGCGUAAUAGCUCACUGGUCGAGUCGGCCUGCGCGGAAGAUGUAACGGGGCUAAACCAUGCACCGAAGCUGCGGCAGCGACACUAUGUGUUGUUGGGUAGGGGAGCGUUCUGUAAGCCUGCGAAGGUGUGCUGUGAGGCAUGCUGGAGGUAUCAGAAGUGCGAAUGCUGACAUAAGUAACGAUAAAGCGGGUGAAAAGCCCGCUCGCCGGAAGACCAAGGGUUCCUGUCCAACGUUAAUCGGGGCAGGGUGAGUCGACCCCUAAGGCGAGGCCGAAAGGCGUAGUCGAUGGGAAACAGGUUAAUAUUCCUGUACUUGGUGUUACUGCGAAGGGGGACGGAGAAGGCUAUGUUAGCCGGGCGACGGUUGUCCCGGUUUAAGCAUGUAGGCUGAUUGUCCAGGCAAAUCCGGAUAAUCAAGGCUGAGGUGUGAUGACGAGGCACUACGGUGCUGAAGUAACAAAUGCCCUGCUUCCAGGAAAAGCCUCUAAGCAUCAGGUAACAUCAAAUCGUACCCCAAACCGACACAGGUGGUCAGGUAGAGAAUACCAAGGCGCUUGAGAGAACUCGGGUGAAGGAACUAGGCAAAAUGGUGCCGUAACUUCGGGAGAAGGCACGCUGGUGUGUAGGUGAAGUCCCUGCGGAUGGAGCUGAGACCAGUCGAAGAUACCAGCUGGCUGCAACUGUUUAUUAAAAACACAGCACUGUGCAAACACGAAAGUGGACGUAUACGGUGUGACGCCUGCCCGGUGCCGGAAGGUUAAUUGAUGGGGUUAUCCGUAAGGAGAAGCUCUUGAUCGAAGCCCCGGUAAACGGCGGCCGUAACUAUAACGGUCCUAAGGUAGCGAAAUUCCUUGUCGGGUAAGUUCCGACCUGCACGAAUGGCGUAAUGAUGGCCAGGCUGUCUCCACCCGAGACUCAGUGAAAUUGAACUCGCUGUGAAGAUGCAGUGUACCCGCGGCAAGACGGAAAGACCCCGUGAACCUUUACUAUAGCUUGACACUGAACAUUGAGCCUUGAUGUGUAGGAUAGGUGGGAGGCUUUGAAGCGUGGACGCCAGUCUGCGUGGAGCCAACCUUGAAAUACCACCCUUUAAUGUUUGAUGUUCUAACGUUGGCCCCUUACCGGGGUUGCGGACAGUGUCUGGUGGGUAGUUUGACUGGGGCGGUCUCCUCCCAAAGCGUAACGGAGGAGCACGAAGGUUAGCUAAUCCUGGUCGGACAUCAGGAGGUUAGUGCAAUGGCAUAAGCUAGCUUGACUGCGAGCGUGACGGCGCGAGCAGGUGCGAAAGCAGGUCAUAGUGAUCCGGUGGUUCUGAAUGGAAGGGCCAUCGCUCAACGGAUAAAAGGUACUCCGGGGAUAACAGGCUGAUACCGCCCAAGAGUUCAUAUCGACGGCGGUGUUUGGCACCUCGAUGUCGGCUCAUCACAUCCUGGGGCUGAAGUAGGUCCCAAGGGUAUGGCUGUUCGCCAUUUAAAGUGGUACGCGAGCUGGGUUUAGAACGUCGUGAGACAGUUCGGUCCCUAUCUGCCGUGGGCGCUGGAGAAUUGAGGGGGGCUGCUCCUAGUACGAGAGGACCGGAGUGGACGCAUCACUGGUGUUCGGGUUGUCAUGCCAAUGGCACUGCCCGGUAGCUAAAUGCGGAAGAGAUAAGUGCUGAAAGCAUCUAAGCACGAAACUUGCCCCGAGAUGAGUUCUCCCUGAGACUUUAAGUCUCCUGAAGGAACGUUGAAGACGACGACGUUGAUAGGCCGGGUGUGUAAGCGCAGCGAUGCGUUGAGCUAACCGGUACUAAUGAACCGUGAGGCUUAACCUUACAACGCCGAAG
rnacentral:rRNA from 1 species